GUCCUUAGUUACCAGCACGUUAUGGUGGGCACUCUAAGGAGACUGCCGGUGGACAAACCGGAGGAAGGUGGGGGAGUGACGUCAAGUCAUCAUGGCCCUUACGGCCUGGGCUACACACGUGCUACAAUGGUCGGUACAAAGGGUUGCCAAGCCGCGAGGUGGAGCUAAUCCCAUAAAACCGAUCGUAGUCCGGAUCGCAGUCUGCAACUCGACUGCGUGAAGUCGGAAUCGCUAGUAAUCGUGAAUCAGAAUGUCACGGUGAAUACGUUCCCGGGCCUU
rnacentral:rRNA from 1 species